UCCUGGAACUCACCAGGCUGGCCUUGAACUCAGAGACAAGAAAGAGGGUCUGUGGUGCAUCCAUGUUCCAGGCUGCAGUUUCUUAACGCGCUAUGGGGACCUGAGCACUCCCUAGCUUUACUUGUCAGCUGUGGUUCCUCUUUGAUGAGGUGGCGAUGCUUUUGUUUUUAAUGAAGCGGGCUUUGGCAGCAAGUGGCCAUGCGACAGUAUGAACGUGUUGGAAUGCACAGGUUACACCUUUCAACAAGAGACCCCGCAGAGCCAUGAUGCUGGAUAGACUUGUGGGCUCCUUCCAAAGCAGUCAGGCUACCCCUAGCCCAGCUGUUCUAUGGCUUCUAGCAGCAAUCUCUAGUCCGCAGGAGAGAGGGUCUGUGCACAAUCCUCAAAACCAAAACCCAGAAACGAUCGAUUCUGCUAAAUAAAUGGUAUUGACAGUCACAAAAAUAAACAUUGUGCAUUUUCUUGCCUGACAUUUCCAUGUGUGGGUGGAUGGGUGUUGUUAAAGGACCAGCCACUCAUAGGCAUGAGGAAGAAUGCAGCUGUAAGACAACCUGAGGUUAGGGAACAGGGCAGAAUGGAUGGAAGUGUCAUCGUCCUCUGUAGAUGUGCUUUCCUCAACAUCUGGUGAGAGCAGCUGGAUCUGAGAGCAACCUAGAAAAGGAUGACCCCCACAAAGCACACCUCCAGGAAAAUCUCAUACCAAGCACAUGGAGGCCAGUGAGGAACCAAAGAGAUACCAGUUCUUCUGAGGCUUCAACUAUGAGGACAUAGGAAAUCCAGGACAUAUCCUCUAUGCAUGAGUAUGACUCUGCAGGCUAGUUCAACCUUGGAAGACCCUAGGGCCAUUGGUGCUGUGUGACAUCCUCCUAGGAGCCUGUACCAGACUUUGAAGCGUGACACUGACCCUUUGACAGACAUAAUAAUCACUGUAAGCUCUGGGCAGCCUGAAAGCUGUGUUAGUAUCCUGUCUAAACUCCACCUCCACAGUUAUCUGGCAACACCCAGAUAUGCUCCUCCCCACAGUUACCUGGCAACAGCCAGGUAGGUGUGCCCAGUAU